CAGCACCAUAGUGAUGUGAAUUUCCUACCAGCACUCAACUCACAGAGGGGAUACUAAUACACCCCUGGCUGAGUAUUCAGGUGAUGUGACUCUCCUGCCUGGUUCUGCCCACAGCCAAUAGAUGAAAAAAGAUUCAAGGAAGACACAUUUGCUUUUUAUUCACUCAUCACUUCCCAUCACUAUGCUGACCAGAGUCAAUGUGAGCAGAGUUGAGAAUAGCAGUUUUCUGGCAGGAGAGCCACUUCUCAGCAAAAAAUGACACACUCAAAGUAUAAAUCUUUCAUGGAAGGCUCACAUAUUUUCAGCAAAUUAAGCAUAUGCAUGAAUAAAAUUCUUGUGGUGAAAUAAAGAUUCAUUUUAUUGAUUCCUAUUGAGCUCAGGUAAUAUUGGAUGAAAAGCAAAAAAAUUAUUUGAAAUAGAAAUAUUGUGAAUAAAGUUAUUGUCA
rnacentral:lncRNA from 10 species